ensembl:lncRNA
CCUGGGUCCACCCUGAGGCGUAGCUCAGUUUUUGACUCAUCAGUUAUACUGUAAGCACCCAGCUUCCAGCCAGAAAUCUCACCCACCACUGAACCUUGCCGUCUAAACUUGGAUUCUCUUCACCUCUACUGCCUGCCCUCCUGCCUGCUGACUGUGCUGGAAACACUAAACCUCAGGUUGGACAAAUACUCAGCUGCUCAGUCUUCAAUACCCUCCCCAAGCUGGAAAUCAGCUUCACUGCAUAGGGUUAUUUCUCUCUCUAGAAGUUACACGAAGCUCAACAGAAAGUCUGUAAGGAUGGCAGAGGAGGAAGUUAACUAUGCCACAGUCAAAUUCAAAGAAAAGAAACAUUCCCAAUCAAAAGUUAAAAAGGAGGAAACUGUUUAUGAUGAAGUGGAGGUGAAAAAUGAAGCAAAGGAACAAACUCUGGACACAAACGAUUUUUACGCCAGACAAGAAGAACG